rnacentral:rRNA from 1 species
GUUUGAUCAUGGCUCAGAUUGAACGCUGGCGGCAGGCUAGACACAUGCAAGUCGAGCGGUAGAGAGAAGCUUGCUUCUCUUGAGAGCGGCGGACGGGUGAGUAAUGCCUAGGAAUCUGCCUGGUAGUGGGGGAUAACGUUCGGAAACGGACGCUAAUACCGCAUACGUCCUACGGGAGAAAGCAGGGGACCUUCGGGCCUUGCGCUAUCAGAUGAGCCUAGGUCGGAUUAGCUAGUUGGUGAGGUAAUGGCUCACCAAGGCGNCGAUCCGUAACUGGUCUGAGAGGAUGAUCAGUCACACUGGAACUGAGACACGGUCCAGACUCCUACGGGAGGCAGCAGUGGGGAAUAUUGGGACAAUGGGCGGAACGUGAAUCCAGCCAUGCCGCGUGUGUGAAGAAGGUCUUCGGAUUGUAAAGCACUUUAAGUUGGGAGGAAGGGCAGUUACCUAUACGUGGUUGUUUUGACGUUACCGACAGAAUAAAGCACCCGGCUAA